UACGGAGGGGGCUAGCGUUGUUCGGAAUUACUGGGCGUAAAGCGCGCGUAGGCGGAUUGUUAAGUCGGGGGUGAAAUCCCGGGGCUCAACCCCGGAACUGCCUUCGAUACUGGCAAUCUGGAGGUCGAGAGAGGUGAGUGGAAUUCCGAGUGUAGAGGUGAAAUUCGUAGAUAUUCGGAGGAACACCAGUGGCGAAGGCGGCACACUGGGUCGAUUCUGACGCUGAGGUGCGAAAGCGUGGGGAGCAAACAGG
rnacentral:rRNA from 1 species